CGUAAAGCGAGCGCAGACGGUUACUUAAGCAGGAUGUGAAAUCCCCGGGCUCAACCUGGGAACUGCGUUCUGAACUGGGUGACUAGAGUGUGUCAGAGGGAGGUAGAAUUCCACGUGUAGCAGUGAAAUGCGUAGAGAUGUGGAGGAAUACCGAUGGCGAAGGCAGCCUCCUGGGAUAACACUGACGUUCAUGCUCGAAAGCGUGGGUAGCAAACAGGAUUAGAUACCCUGGUAGUCCACGCCCUAAACGAUGUCAAUUAGCUGUUGGGCAACUUGAUUGCUUAGUAGCGUAGCUAACGCGUGAAAUUGACCGCCUGGGGAGUACGGUCGCAAGAUUAAAACUCAAAGGAAUUGACGGGGACCCGCACAAGCGGUGGAUGAUGUGGAUUAAUUCGAUGCAACGCGAAGAACCUUACCUGGUCUUGACAUGUACGGAAUCCUCCAGAGACGGAGGAGUGCCUUCGGGAGCCGUAACACAGGUGCUGCAUGGCUGUCGUCAGCUCGUGUCGUGAGAUGUUGGAUUAAGUCCCGCAACGAGCGCAACCCUUGUCAUUAGUUGCCAUCAUUAAGUUGGGCACUCUAAUGAGACUGCCGGUGACAAGCCGGAGGAAGGUGGGGAUGACGUCAAGUCCUCAUGGCCCUUAUGACCAGGGCUUCACACGUCAUACAAUGGUCGGUACAGAGGGUAGCCAAGCCGCGAGGUGGAGCCAAUCUCACAAAACCGAUCGUAGUCCGGAUUGCACUCUGCAACUCGAGUGCAUGAAGUCGGAAUCG
rnacentral:rRNA from 1 species